rnacentral:rRNA from 1 species
AUUGAACGCUGGCGGCAUGCUUUACACAUGCAAGUCGAACGGCAGCGCGGGCUUCGGCCUGGCGGCGAGUGGCGAACGGGUGAGUAAUUCAUCGGAACGUGCCCAGUAGUGGGGGAUAGCCCGGCGAAAGCCGGAUUAAUACCGCAUACGACCUGAGGGUGAAAGCUGGGGACCGAAAGGCCUCGCGCUAUUGGAACGGCCGACGUCGGAUUAGCUAGUUGGUGAGGUAAAGGCUUAACAAGGCGACGAGCCGUAGCCGGUCUGAUAGGAUGGCCAGCCACGGUGGGAAUGAGACACGGGCCAAACUCCCACGGGAGGCAGCAGUAGGGAGGAUUCGGCGAGGGACGAAAGUCGGACCGAGCAACGCCGCGGGAGUGAAGAAGGGUGUCGGAUCGUAAAACGCGGUGGGUAGAGAAGAAAGUUGGUGAGAGUGGAAAGCUCAGCAAGUGACGGUAACUACCCAGAAAGGGACGGCUAACUACGUG